rnacentral:lncRNA from 1 species
UGUUACACUCAACAAGAAGGGCUUGACUUCAUUGAAACCUUUUCUCCUGUGGCUAAGUUUGUAACUGUCAAAGUCCUAUUAGCUUUUGCCACCAAUCAAAAUUGGCAUUUGAUUCAACUUGAUGUGACAAUGCCUUUCUAAAUGGUGACUUAUUUAAAGAAGUAUACAUGGAUCUUCCUCUUGGCUAUCAUAGUAAGGGGGAGAGGUGCAUACAUGGAGCUAAUUUAGUUUUCAAGCUUCACAAGUCCAUAUAUGAUCUCAAGCAAGCAUCAAGACAGUGGUACUCCAAGUUUUCUCAGAACCUUCUUCAGUUUGGUUUUACUCAAUCUAAAUCUAUUUACUCUCUAUUUACCCUCUAUUUACCAAAGGUUCAUGAUCAUCUUUUAUUGCAUUAUUGGUAUAUGUUGAUGACAGUAUCAUUACUAGUCCAUGUUCUCAAGUUAUUAACUCUCUGAAAUCCUUCAUUCAUAGUCAGUUUAAACUGAAAGAUUUGGGAUGUUUGAAAUAUUUUCAUGGUCUUGAAAUUGCUAAAUCUGUCAAACGGAUUAUUUUAUCUCAAAGACAUUAUACUUUAUAGUUUCUUGAAGAUACAAGAUUCCUUGCUUGCAAGCCUGCUAGUGGUCCAAUGGACCCUAAAAUUCAACAUAAUGCUACUGAUGGUGAUUUGCUCACUGAAUAUGUCUCAUUACGGAUGACUUAUUGGUCGUCUUCUUUACUUCAAAUUUUCCAGGCCUAAUAUCACAUUUGUUGUCCACAAGCUCAGUCAAUAUUUGGCUCAACCUCGUUCCCCAUCUGCAAGCUGCUCAUCAUCUUCUCAUAUAUCUAAAAUCCAAUCCUGGUCAGGGAUUAUUCUUCUCUUCGUCUUCACCUCAAGGCCUUCUCUGAUGCAGAUUGGGGUUCUUGUUUGGAUACUAGAAAGUCCGUUACUGGGUUUAUAUAUUCAUUGGUGAUUCCUUAGUCUCAUGGAAAGCUAGGAAACAAACUACAAUUUCCAGAUCUUCUACAGAAGUAGAAUAUAGAGUAUUAGCUUCUACUGCUAGUGAAUUGGUUUGGAUACAUCAGUUGCUAAAAUAUUUUCAGAUUGAUGUUUCAUCUCCAGCUCUUCUUUUUUGUGAUAACCAGGCUGCUAUUCAUAUUACUUCAAAUCUAACCUUUUAUGAAAGGACUAAAUAUAUAGAGAUCAAUUGCCACUUCAUUUGUGAUAAAAUUACCAAAGGAUUUAUCAUACUUAUGCUUAUUCAAUCUCAACAUCAACUAGCUGAUUUUUUACCAAAGCUUUACCAACUUCUUCCCUGUUUCCACUCUUAUCCAAGAUGGAUGUGAAAGACAUUCACUGUCCAUCUUGAGGGGGAGUAUUAAAUCUCAUAUAAAUAAUUAGUUAUCCAUUUAAGUAGUUAGAGUAACCUUAUCUUGAUUUUGUAAAUAAUACUAGUAUAAAUACACAAUGUAACAGAAGUUCAAUAGAUAUACAAGAAAUUCUCUUUUCUUCUCAUUUCGAAUUUGUUAAGGGAAGCCAAAGCCUUUCAUGGGGCAUGUCCAAAGUGUGGACAGAGCGACAUUGUUGCAUCCCCAACAAUAACUAGUCUAUUGAAGCUUCCAUGAUGAUUCUUUGCUGGUGUGGGAAAUUUCACAUGGUCAAUCUGCAAUGUAAACAUCUUAAUUUUCUUGGAAAAUUAAGAUGAGUGGAAUAGGGUAGGGGGUGUAUCACUAACGCACCGAUAAGAUUCAUAAUAGAGUGUAGAUUUCCAAGUCCAUAGGUAAAAUUUUCCUCCACUCACUCCAUUGUAACGACUGAACCGCUUUGCAGUGUGCUAAGUUUAUAUAGGAAAUUUUCACGAGGGUCAGGUUUAUUACAUUCACAGUCAUUUUAGUGUAGCUACUCUUCUUCUAAGCACUCUGAAACAAGACAUGAUAAAAGGGCACAAGACCUUGACCUUAUCAAAUCUGUAUAAUUGAUCAUAACUUUCCCCCCCUAAUGAGUGUUAGUGGAAAAAAGGGACCCAAGAUGUCUUCAAAGUCUUCCUUAAGUGUAAAAUCAUAGCCAGAAUAACGCAAGAAGGACCUUUAGGAAAAAGUUACCCUGCUGUUUCCAUAGUCCGUUUGUUUUGUCGUCUGUAAGCAGGUUCUUCGAAAGCUUUUCAUUCUCUCGUUCCCUAAUCUUGCAAUAUGGAUUCUGUAUCAAUCAACUCUCUGGUCCAUCCCACUCAAAUUGGUUCACCUCUCCAAGCUCGUUUACCUUGAUUUGUCCCCUCCACCCAAUCAAUUUUCGGGGAACAUUCCCAAGAAAUUGGCCUAGUUAACAAAUUUCGAAACCUUCCAGCUGUUCGAAAACCAGUUGAAUGGAUCAAUCCUCAAGAGAUAAGCAGUUUUAACGUUGUUUCAGGGCUUUGCCUUUUGUACACCAAUCGUUCAGUGGUCCCAUGCCUGCUUCUUGGUAAUUUUGAGCAACUUGAUUGGACUUUCUAUUCUUACGAAAAUCAACUUUCAGGCUCCAUCCCACCAGACAGAAAUAGGAAAUCCGUUAAUCUCGUGUUGCUUUUCAUGGAUCAUAACAAUCUAAACAGGUCAUUCCUUCAACUUUCGUGAAACAUGAAUUAGACUAAAUGUGUUAGCCCUGUUAUGUGAACCAACUUUCUGGUUCCAUUCCUCAAGAAUUCGGAAAAACUUGAAGUCCCCUCACCAAUUUAGAAUUGACCCAGAAUCAACUCUCAUGGAAUAUUCCUGCCUCAUAGGGAACCUGUCCAAAUUAGAAAACGCUCUUUCUUGCAUAUCAACAACGUUCGGGCUCAAUUUCAAACAGAAUUCGGCAAUUUGAAAAAAACUUGCUUUUAUUGGUAAUGGAUACAAAUCAGUUAUCUGGCCAUCUACCGGAAUUUGGCCAAGGUGGGAAACUUCAAAAAAUCAUGUUUGCAAAAACAAUCAGCUCAAGGGACCAAUCCCCAAAAGCUGGAAGAGACUGUCAAGCUUAGUCAGGAGUCCCCGCCGGAAGGAAAAACCAAUUCACUGGAAGCAUAUUCUGAAGCCUUUGGUUGUCUAUCCAAAUCUAAAACUACUUGGAUCUAAGUCGCAAAACUUUCUAUGGUGGAAACUCAAAAAAAACUGGAGUAGUAGCUGCCCCCCGGAUGCCCAAACUUGAUGAUGGCAGGGAACAACAUCACGGUAGUAUACCACCAGAGUUGGGAGAUUCGCCUCACUUGCAAAGGCUAAUCUUUCUUCCAAUCAUUUGAUUGGGGAGAUCCCAAAGGAAUUGGGAAGAGUUGAAUCUUGCAGAACUCUAUCUGACAGACACCACCAACAUUCUGGCAGUAUACAACAGCACUGGAUUGAUGACUAAACUGUUGAAGCUGACCUGUAAAAAACCAGAUAGGGGGCCCAAAUUGCAGCUGGAAAUUGGAGAAUGCAGGCAACUGAUUAACUUGAAGUUUGAGCAGCAAUACAUUUUAGCCUGACAUCCCAGAGCAGUGAGUAAUUACCUCAAACUUCGACCCUGGAUCGAGGUCACAAUUCACUCUCAGGUGAGAUACCAUGACAGAUCGGAAGUUUCCAGAGUUGGAGUGGUUGAGCCUCUCCCCCUUAAUAAUAUUUUGGUCCAUUCCAAGGGCAUUUGAAGACCAGCAUUGGUUUGCAGCACGUUUUGAUAGAUCCUACAAUGAGUUAGAGGGGCCAUUCCCACCAGCAAAGCCUUUUAUGAUGCUUUCAUAAGAGGGCACUGCAAGGAAACAAAGAUUUGUGUGGAAAAUGUACAGGAUUUCAGCCUGCAAAAAUAUUGUCUAGAGAAACAAAAAGACUCACGGCAUAACCGGACUCUUAUCUUGUAAUCAGCUCCCUCUUGGCGGAGCACUUUACUUCUAGGUGCGUCUGCGGAUUAUGAUGGAUGGAUUAGAAAGAAAGAAAAAGCAAGAAAAAGGGUGCCACGAUUGGGAUCUUUCUCCAUUCAAUAUACGAUGCAACAGCAAUGUAUAUGACAUCCUCAAGGCUAACCAAUAACUUUGAUCCUAUAUAUUGCAUAGGAAAGAGAGGAUUAUCGAAAUUAGAGUCAAGCUUUUCCGGGUUCUGUUCGUGUGCCCAACACUCUAUUUUGGUUUAUGAGUACCUCGAAAGGGGUAGCUUGGCUACAAUUUGCGCAGAGAUGAGAAGCUCAACAAUUUAGAUUGUCCAAAGAGAGUUAAUAUUGUCAAGGGUGUGGCGCAUCGCUUUAGCAAUAUGCACCAUGAUUGCGCACCCCCAAUUGUUCACGAGAAUAUCAAGCAGCAAUGUUUGAUUGAAAAGAGUUUGAGGCUCGUGAUCAGACUUUUGGCCACAGCUUAGCGUCUGAAGCCUGAUUCCUCUAAUUGGAGUGCACUUAAAGGCAUGUACGGAUAUGUUGCACCAGGUAACCGUAGUUUUAUAUGCUCCUAAAUUGACAUAGAAUCUAUUAAUUCACAGAUAGAUGAACAUUUCUUUGUCUCUGUCUCUCUCUCGUUUUCAGAGUUUGCUUAUACAAUGAAGGUGACUGAAAAGUGUGAUGUAUAUAACUUUGGAGUGUUAGCACUGGAAGUGAUCAAAGGAAGCCAUCCAGGAGAUUUUGUUUCCUCCUGGCAACCCAGCAGUGGGAAAAAUACAGCUGAAAGAGUAAUGGAUCAACGUCUUUUACCUCCCUCUACUCCAAGGAGGAGUAUAAUGUGCAUCAUGGCUUAUAUAGUUCAGGGAAAGGGAGGCUCACCCUACUGUAGGGUAACCCCAAGGAAACUUAGAACAAAAAUAGAGGCCUGCAAAACCAUGCAAAUCGUUUCUCAACUGUUAUCGGCCAGAACAAUUUUCUAAGUGCCUCAAAGAUGAUGUACCGAAAAUGUAAAGCUAUUUUUUCAUUAAUGAUGUAUUAGUAUCAAAUAGAUUAUACCAUCUGGCAAUUGUGUAUGUAUAUUUAUUGUCCACUUUAGGGUACUUAAUCAUACAGAUCAUAUAUAUAACAGGUUGUUGGCUUGUACUUUUAAUACUGUCUGAGAAAAAGAUAUAGCCAUUAUGCAAUUUUCGAUAUAUAGCGAUUAAAUUACACCAGAGGUCUUUGUAAAAUAAUCAGUUAUUUGGUCUGCUUAGUCUCGAUUGCACUAGAGAGGUGACUCUAUUCCCACCCUUUUUUGAUUCUUAGUACCCAAACCUUUCUCAGGACACCAUUUAAAAUAAACAAGGCUUUCCUUCUUAUUCCCAAACCGCCCUAUUUUCAACCUCCAAACCCUGGCAUAGUGAUUGAGGUUCUCACUUACUAGGUUCGAUAACUAGGUUUGAGUCUUAUCAUUGCAAGAUAUAACUUCUCUUCCCCUCUCCCCUCCGAAAGAUUGGCUAUAAAAAAAAGAAGAAAAACCUCCAAACCCCAGCCCGAGCCUAAUCCCAAUCCACCAAUGCAGCCACUGAUCCCCACCACCACCCUUAGUUCCUCUCUUGUCGUCACCACUACUCCACCAUCCUCCCCUAACCACUCCCACCCUUUUCCAGCCACUGCCGACCACUCUUCCAUAUCUGCCACUGUUCACCCCUCCCCAACCCAUCUCUGCCACCUCUGCCCAUUCCGGGCCCGUUGGUGAUUCAAUCCACCAUACGGUCCACCAUAAACUUCCCUUCACAAUCUAAGUACAAGGAUACGGAUACCCAACACAGCCAAGAAAACAAUAGGAACACAUGGAUAUGUAAUUUUUCUAAAAAUUGGGACAUGGACACGCCCUUGUACUAAGAACGUUCAAAUUCUUAAUUAAUUUUUAUAGUGUCGAAUCUCUUUCUCCAAGAAAACGGGGACAAUGUGACGGCUGCCAAUCACUAUAUACACAUUGUAUAACUCAAGGACCUCACAGGUUGGUGGUGUAAAAAUUGGAUCUAUCUAAUGGCAAUUUCCUAAAGACAAUAAAUAUGGGAAUCCCUCUCCCCAUCUGCUCUCUCCUCUUUCUUUAUCUAUCCAUCACCCUCUCUCUUUCUAUACAUACUGCAUUUAGAAGUGUAUAUGUAUAAGCAUAGAUACAUAUAUAUUCACUCUUGCUAAACUGAAAAACUUCCUGGCCUGCUAGCUAUUUGGACAAUUUCCUAUUCUUACUGAAUCUAACGGAUCCCUUACUUGAAGAUUAAAAGCUAGGUACGUUUGUUUGAAGUAAUAAUCAUAGUGCGACACACAUUUGCUUCUUGUAAUCAUAUCAAAUCUUUUUUAGUUUAAAUGAAUUCCCAGCUAGAAGCUAAGGCCACCAAAUUAUUCAAACAGGAAACUUGAUUUACUCAUAACACUACAGGAAAUCAACUAAAAAAAAACUAAUUAACCAGAUUCUCAUAUGGGUUCGUAUGCUAAUAAACACUUUUGGGCUGUGCAUACAUUUAAUGCACAAAUUUAAACAACGUAAACUAUAUAUGACUUCGAUUCAGUUUAUGGAUAAGGAAGCGAUUAAUUUGUUACCAGGCAAAAUCGCUGACAUCAAUUCAAACGGCGAUAAGGUCAGGCACUACACAGCAUAAUUGAUUUUCCUUCAAAACUUGUGCUAUGCUAGUGACAAUAUUGCUAAAGGCUUGGAUAGUCAUUGUAGAACUCACCCUUUCAAGUUGAACUUCAUGUCAAACUUUAAUUGCAAACUUUUAGGUAGACAUUCUUGAAUGAAACUAGAUUCAUGAAGUGAACCGUUAAUAGAAAUUUUUGUAACCGUUAAUACAAAAUGAGAAUUGGCCGCCAGUAUUUGACAAAACAGGAUUCUCCAAGUUUUGUAGAAUUUCAAGUCCUUUUGCUCUCUGUACCGAAAACAAAUGCGCUACACCUCAUCUCUCCACUGUCAAUUUCACAUUUUUGAUCUUUGGUCCCUUGUUCCAUCGUUCACUUGAUUUUUGUCUACCAGUAUUUUUGUCAAUUGUAUACCAGAGAAUGUAAGCUCACUCACACAUUUUAAUCCCAACUCUUUGUUAUUUUAUCUUAUGGCUCUAUCUAUAAUUAAAAAUUUAAUUUCAAAAAUAAUCCCUAAUUGUGUCCCUUAAUGAGUAUAAUUGAACCUAAAAUAGAUAACAACUAUAAAUUUUAAAUCUUUCCAAAACGAAAUUAUGGGAAUGGGUAUUCAAUUUUUCCACAAUGUUAAAUAACAAAAUAUACUCUUGUUUGCGAAAAUAAUUCUUAGCCUUGUGGUAAGUAGUUAGCGUUAGUCUCCAAGUCUCCAAGUCAGGCUCUAUAACUAUUCUCUACCAUUAUUUUCAAUUUUUCUAUUUUCUUUAAUUUCAUGAUCCACUUUGGGUGGUGAAUAUUUUGCGGACUUUAAAUACUACAAUUUUUUUAGUUCCACAAUUCAUUCAGGUUAUCUUAUAAAAAAAUAAAAUUUAAUCUGUCAAUGCCCUUUAAUUUCAAAACCCAAAAAGCUAUUUUUAUAGGUUGAUACUUAGAAGUUAUUUGAUUUUGAUUUCAUGAUCUUUGAUCAAACACAUGAGAAGAAGCAUUGAGUUGAAAUGUAUAGGGUGAAAAACCUUGAUUAUAAACUUAAUUAGUUAUUUACUUUAUUUACAAUUAAA